GACGAACGCUGGCGGCGUGCUUAGCACAUGCAAGUCGAACGGAAAGGCCCUGCUUUUGUGGGGUGCUCGAGUGGCGAACGGGUGAGUAACACGUGAGUAACCUGCCCUUGACUUUGGGAUAACUUCAGGAAACUGGGGCUAAUACCGGAUAGGAGCUCCUGCUGCAUGGUGGGGGUUGGAAAGUUUCGGCGGUUGGGGAUGGACUCGCGGCUUAUCAGCUUGUUGGUGGGGUAGUGGCUUACCAAGGCUUUGACGGGUAGCCGGCCUGAGAGGGUGACCGGCCACAUUGGGACUGAGAUACGGCCCAGACUCCUACGGGAGGCAGCAGUGGGGAAUAUUGCACAAUGGGCGGAAGCCUGAUGCAGCAACGCCGCGUGCGGGAUGACGGCCUUCGGGUUGUAAACCGCUUUCGCCUGUGACGAAGCGUGAGUGACGGUAAUGGGUAAAGAAGCACCGGCUAACUACGUGCCAGCAGCCGCGGUGAUACGUAGGGUGCGAGCGUUGUCCGGAUUUAUUGGGCGUAAAGGGCUCGUAGGUGGUUGAUCGCGUCGGAAGUGUAAUCUUGGGGCUUAACCCUGAGCGUGCUUUCGAUACGGGUUGACUUGAGGAAGGUAGGGGAGAAUGGAAUUCCUGGUGGAGCGGUGGAAUGCGCAGAUAUCAGGAGGAACACCAGUGGCGAAGGCGGUUCUCUGGGCCUUUCCUGACGCUGAGGAGCGAAAGCGUGGGGAGCGAACAGGCUUAGAUACCCUGGUAGUCCACGCUGUAAACGGUGGGUACUAGGUGUGGGGCCCAUUCCACGGGUUCCGUGCCGUAGCUAACGCUUUAAGUACCCCGCCUGGGGAGUACGGCCGCAAGGCUAAAACUCAAAGGAAUUGACGGGGCCCCGCACAAGCGGCGGAGCAUGCGGAUUAAUUCGAUGCAACGCGUAGAACCUUACCUGGGUUUGACAUGGAUCGGGAGCGCUCAGAGAUGGGUGUGCCUCUUUUGGGGUCGGUUCACAGGUGGUGCAUGGCUGUCGUCAGCUCGUGUCGUGAGAUGUUGGGUUAAGUUCCGCAACGAGCGCAACCCUUGUUCACUGUUGCCAGCACGUUAUGGUGGGGACUCAGUGGAGACCGCCGGGGUCAACUCGGAGGAAGGUGGGGAUGACGUCAAGUCAUCAUGCCCCUUAUGUUCAGGGCUUCACGCAUGCUACAAUGGCUGGUACAGAGAGUGGCGAGCCUGUGAGGGUGAGCGAAUCUCGGAAAGCCGGUCUCAGUUCGGAUUGGGGUCUGCAACUCGACCUCAUGAAGUCGGAGUCGCUAGUAAUCGCAGAUCAGCAACGCUGCGGUGAAUACGUUCCCGGGGCU
rnacentral:rRNA from 1 species